CCUACGGGGGGCUGCAGUCGAGGAUCUUUAGCAAUGCCCGAAAGGGUGACUAUGCGACGCCGCGUGUGGGAUGAAGGCCUUCGGGUCGUAAACCACUGUCAGGGAGGAAGAAACCUUACGUGUUAACAGCGCGUAAGCUGACAUCACUCCCAAAGGAAGCCACGGCUAACUCUGUGCCAGCAGCCGCGGUAAGACAGAGGUGGCAAGCGUUGUUCGGAUUUAUUGGGUGUAAAGGGUCCGUAGGUGGUCUAACAAGUCUGAUGUGAAAUCCCAUGGCUCAACCGUGGAACUGCAUUGGAAACUGUUGGACUUGAGUACCGCAGAGGUAAAGGGAAUUCCCGGUGUAAGGGUGAAAUCUGUAGAUAUCGGGAGGAACACCAGUGGCGAAGGCGCUUUACUGGGCGGUUACUGACACUGAGGGACGAAAGCGUGGGGAGCAAACAGGAUUAGAUACCCUGGUAGUC
rnacentral:rRNA from 1 species